CGCCUCCAGCGCGCAGUUUGAACAUCCUCACCUGUUUCCACUGCGGGUUGCUGCUGGCGUCUUCCACACAAACUGAUCCAAAUCUUUGAACCUACUGAUUUGAUUGCCUGCAGGGGGAUGCCGGAGUCCAACCGCAGCUCCUGUCUCAUUCAUGCUGAGCGCUGCUCUCCUGUGCGCACGGAUCUGCAGAGCUGAGCUUUUUGAACUGCUGCUGCUGCUCUCUGACGAGCCGAGCGGGAAUGGAAACGUCCUCUGCUGCAACUCUGACAUCCUAAAGAAAAGAAGAAAUAAUGCCAAGCAGGGAUAAUACAAAACACGGCUUAAUAAGAAGUCCAGAGGUCGGGUUCAUCAGCAGAGCAGUUAAGUCACUUGAAUGGACUCGUUUCCAGCAUCUGUAUCUUUCUUUUACAUCCUCCCUGUGACAAGCGCUAUCCCUCACUACCGCGAAGCUUUGGCCUGGCAGCAGAGCUGGAAUGCUGUCUGGACUGUGAUGUGAUAAUCAGAACCAGACUCAAGCAAACCAGGACCUCAUCCAAUCACAAUCAGCCCAGAAAGACACUUCAGGAAUUUCGUCUCUUCCUCUGUGACUAGAGCCUCAUGCCAAAAAGACGUAGGUUCUGGUUUGGCUAGCAGUGAAACUGGAAAAUCACAUACCUCCAAUGUUUUUAAUCUUGCACCUGGAGUCACCCUCCCCCCAAUGCAAAAACAAAUUAGUCUCCGUAUUGUCGUUUGUUAAUGUUUUGUCUGUUGUGGAUUUGUUGUCAAACUGGAUUAAAAUGAGCCGUAUGUGCAUGUGUUCACAAA